UUUUUCCUGUACAAUCUGCUGAUAGCAACUGAAUGCAGGCAUGGACAUCCAAGAAGGCCAGGGAGGUAGUUUCUCUCGGCCGAGAGCUGUUGGGUGGCAACGGCAUAUUGGCUGAUUUCCUGGUCGCAAAGGCGUUCUGUGAUUUGGAGCCGAUUUUCACGUACGAGGGCACCUAUGACAUAAACAGCCUAGUGACGGGCAGAGAGAUCACUAGGGUGGCUAGCUUCAAGCCUGCCAUGUUAGCGAAAUCACGCCUCUGAAGGUCUUUUCUCGUUUUCCUUUAGUCGAGUUGUUGUGAUUGAGCAGUGGCUGCAACUGUAAUAGGAUUGUUUGUGUGCUCGAAUGCCUAGCUGCAAAAAUUCAGCUGAAGGCCCAAUUUGUGUUCAGACGGGAACGAUGUCAGAUUCGGGAGUGAGUGUCAUUUUUACCUUGGAAAAUGUUGCUGGCUCAAACUGAUAUCUGUUGAUUUGUAAGACAAUGUAACGUUUCCAUUUUCCAGUGAUCUAUUCGGUAAA